UGAGGAAUAUUGCGCAAUGGUCGAAAGACUGACGCAGCGACGCCGUGUGUGGGAAGAAGGCUCUUGGGUCGUAAACCACUGUCAGUGGGGACGAAAAAAAUGACGGUACCCACAAAGGAAGCCCCGGCUAACUACGUGCCAGCAGCCGCGGUAAGACGUAGGGGGCGAGCGUUGUUCGGAAUUACUGGGCGUAAAGAGCUCGUAGGCGGGCGAAUAAGUCUUGCAACAAAGACUGCAGCUCAACUGCAGGAAGUUGUAGGAUACUGUUUGUCUUGAGAAUAGGAGAGGGGAGUGGAAUUCCUAGUGUAGCGGUGAAAUGCGUAGAUAUUAGGAGGAACACCAGUGGCGAAGGCGACUCUCUGGCCUAUUUCUGACGCUGAGGAGCGAAAGCUGGGGGAGCAAACGGG
rnacentral:rRNA from 1 species